UACGUAGGGGGCUAGCGUUGUCCGGAAUCAUUGGGCGUAAAGCGCGUGUAGGCGGCCCGGUAAGUCCGCUGUGAAAGUCGGGGGCUCAACCCUCGAAUGCCGGUGGAUACUGUCGGGCUAGAGUGCGGAAGAGGCGAGUGGAAUUCCUGGUGUAGCGGUGAAAUGCGUAGAUAUCAGGAGGAACACCUGCGGUGUAGACGGCUUACUGGACCAUAACUGACGCUGAGGCACGAAAGCGUGGGUAGCAAACAGG
rnacentral:rRNA from 1 species